UAUUUUUUUUUUUGUACCUAAUUUUUUUUGGCCACACCCACGGCAUGCAGAAGUUCCCAGGCCAGGGAACAAACAUGCACCACAGUAGUGACCCAAACCACAGCAGUGACAAUACCAGAUAAUUAACCUGUUAAGCCACCAAGGAACUCCCUAUCUUAAUUAUGGUCACAGAAUAUACUGUAUGGUUACAAUUAUUUGAGUCUUGUUUAGAUUUGAUUCCUGGUAUAGAAAAUGGUCAGUUUUUGUAAAUGUUCCAUGUCCAUGAAAAAAAUGUGUAUUUGUUAAGUAGGGUAGCAUAUACAUGGUGAUUAGGUCAAUUCUAUCUUUUAUAACCUUUAUUACUAAGUGUGUGAUCUUCCUCUGUGAUUACAGAUUUCUCUAUUUCCCCCUGUAGUCCUGAUAAACUUAGAGCCUAUGUGUUAAACUCAAUAAAUUUAGAAUUGCUAAAUCUUCCUAAUGAAUCAGUCUUUUUAUCAACUUUAGUCUCUCUUGCUGGUCUCUUUACUUACUAGCAAGUCUUCUGCCUGAUAGCCUGAUAUUAACAUAGCCACAGCAGCUUUCUUUUGGCUAGUGUUUAUAUAUUUUAUCCUUUCACUUUUCUGUAUCCCGACAUUUUAUGUGUCUCUUUUGUAUAUACAGGCAUGUCUCAGAUAUCGUGGGUUCAGUUCCAGACAUCCAUAAUAAAGUGAUUAUCACAAUAAAGUGAAUCACACAAAUCUUUUUUUUUUUUUUUUUUUUUUUUUUUUUUUUUUUUUUUUUUUUUUUUUUUUNNNNNNNNNNNNNNNNNNNNNNNNNNNNNNNCGGCAUAUGGAGGUUCCCAGUGCAUAUAAAAGCUAUGGUUACACUUGGGAGUUCCCUGAUGACUCAGCAAGUUUGAUCCCUGGCCUGGAGUUCCCUGGUGGCUCAGCAAGUUUGAUCCCUGGCCUAGGAACCUCCACAUGCCAGGGAAGGGUCAGAAACAAAACAAAAACAACAAUGAAAUUUAUGUUUAAUUAUACGUUGGACCAUUAAGUGUACAAUAGCACUAUGUCUAAAAAAACUGCAGGAGUUCCCACUGCGGCAGAGAGGAUUAAGGAUCUGGCGCUGCUGUAGCAGCUGUGGCUUGAAUUCAGUCCCUGGCCUAUUGUGUACAAUAUACAGAGGGCAUGAAAGUGGGCUGAGGAAUUCAUGAAACACUUCAGUGGGCAUCUAAAGCUAAAGAUGAGUGGAAAUACGAAAGAACCUGGGAGGGGGAGCACUGUAAAUCUGACUAUGAAAGCAUACGGCAUCUUCCCCACAUCUGGGAAACAACUAUGACUAGAAUUUAGUGGCAGACCAUGUAGGUGAUGAAUAAGGAGGUGAGAUUAGGCUGAAAAGGAAAGCAAGGGCCAGACCACAAAAGGCCUUACAUACUAGAUGAAGAGUUUGAACAUCACCCUGUAGGAAAGGUGGUAGAAGGUUGAUAUUAAAGGGUAACAAAGAGAAAAUAAAUUUAUUCAAGAAAGAUCAUUUAGGCAAGAAAUUAUAGGAAAAGGUAUAAGGGUAAAAUAAGGCACAGAUCAAUUAGUAAACCUACUGGAUGGAAUACUCCAGGCCAGAGAAGACUAGAGCGAGGGUCAAAGCACCAAUAUAGAAAGAUGGAUUGAUACUGAAGUACUACCCAGUCUUUAGUGACUGAAUAUGAAGAGAAAUUAAGGUUUAAGCCCAGCUUUCAAGCACUAUUCACAGAGACAGAGUACAAGAGAACAUUUAGAUGAAAGAUAAUGAAAGAUAAUGCCAUCCAUUUAGAUCUCUUGGAGUAAAAGAG
rnacentral:lncRNA from 1 species